rnacentral:lncRNA from 1 species
UCUCUUUGCUUGAUAUUCUUUUCUUUUUCUUCUUCCUGCUGAAUUUCUUCAAAAAAUUAAGAACAUCAAGCACCUGUUUUCAUAUAUCAAUUAUAAGAACUUUAAUCUCCAAUUUCUUGAAGAUUUCAAUAAAGCACUUAAACUUCUUUUCUUUCCUAUGAUAUUUCUUUUGAUGAGGAAGAGGUUUUGCAUAUGAUCUUUUCUUCUUUCCUCUCUUCCUCUUUUUCUUAAUCUCCUCCCUCAACUUUCUCUUUUUCUCUUUUCUUAUUUUCUUCUUU